rnacentral:rRNA from 1 species
GACGAACGCUGGCGGCGUGCCUAAUACAUGCAAGUAGAAUGCUGAAGAGAGGAGCUUGCUCUUCUUGGAUGAGUUGCGAACGGGUGAGUAACGCGUAGGUAACCCGCCUUGUAGCGGGGGAUAACUAUUGGAAACGAUAGCUAAUACCGCAUAACAAUGGAUGACACAUGUCAUUUAUUUGAAAGGGGCAAUUGCUCCACUACAAGAUGGACCUGCGUUGUAUUAGCUAGUAGGUGAGGUAACGGCUCACCUAGGCGACGAUACAUAGCCGACCUGAGAGGGUGAUCGGCCACACUGGGACUGAGACACGGCCCAGACUCCUACGGGAGGCAGCAGUAGGGAAUCUUCGGCAAUGGGGGCAACCCUGACCGAGCAACGCCGCGUGAGUGAAGAAGGUUUUCGGAUCGUAAAGCUCUGUUGUAAGUCAAGAACGAGUGUGAGAGUGGAAAGUUCACACUGUGACGGUAGCUUACCAGAAAGGGACGGCUAACUACGUGCCAGCAGCCGCGGUAAUACGUAGGUCCCGAGCGUUGUCCGGAUUUAUUGGGCGUAAAGCGAGCGCAGGCGGUUUGAUAAGUCUGAAGUUAAAGGCUGUGGCUCAACCAUAGUUCGCUUUGGAAACUGUCAAACUUGAGUGCAGAAGGGGAGAGUGGAAUUCCAUGUGUAGCGGUGAAAUGCGUAGAUAUAUGGAGGAACACCGGUGGCGAAAGCGGCUCUCUGGUCUGUAACUGACGCUGAGGCUCGAAAGCGUGGGGAGCGAACAGGAUUAGAUACCCUGGUAGUCCACGCCGUAAACGAUGAGUGCUAGGUGUUGGAUCCUUUCCGGGAUUCAGUGCCGCAGCUAACGCAUUAAGCACUCCGCCUGGGGAGUACGACCGCAAGGUUGAAACUCAAAGGAAUUGACGGGGGCCCGCACAAGCGGUGGAGCAUGUGGUUUAAUUCGAAGCAACGCGAAGAACCUUACCAGGUCUUGACAUCCCGAUGCUAUUUCUAGAGAUAGAAAGUUACUUCGGUACAUCGGUGACAGGUGGUGCAUGGUUGUCGUCAGCUCGUGUCGUGAGAUGUUGGGUUAAGUCCCGCAACGAGCGCAACCCCUAUUGUUAGUUGCCAUCAUUCAGUUGGGCACUCUAGCGAGACUGCCGGUAAUAAACCGGAGGAAGGUGGGGAUGACGUCAAAUCAUCAUGCCCCUUAUGACCUGGGCUACACACGUGCUACAAUGGUUGGUACAACGAGUUGCGAGUCGGUGACGGCAAGCUAAUCUCUUAAAGCCAAUCUCAGUUCGGAUUGUAGGCUGCAACUCGCCUACAUGAAGUCGGAAUCGCUAGUAAUCGCGGAUCAGCACGCCGCGGUGAAUACGUUCCCGGGCCU